GCCCCCGCCCGCCCGAGCCUCGGCCGCGGGCCUCUCUCCUCCGUUAUCCCGCCUGCCCGCGCAAAACUCACACAACCCUCUUCAUUCGACCUACCUCCCUUGGGCACGUCUCGCAGUCAGGCUUGCGUUGGGGCCGUUUACUUCCCUUCGAUUAGACAACCAGGCCCCGCGGGGCUGGGGCUGCGGCCUCCCCUCCCCGCCCGGCACACGCGGGCACAGCGUGGUUACCCUGGUUACUCAAAAGGAAGAGGCCGCUUGAACUGAGAAAAACACAACGUGUGAAUACGGUGGCUUCUUGUGAGAAGGGGCCAUUCUAUUGUAACUGUGAAUCUGCAGCAGUAAUCUUUUUGGCUUUGUCCUAGCCUUUGACUACGUGGGUGCUUAAUACAUGCAUGUUGAAUGAACAAAUAAAAAGAAUUCUUCACA
rnacentral:lncRNA from 1 species